rfam:TPA: Bos taurus chromosome 15, whole genome shotgun sequence.
AUCACCUAGGGAUCUUAUUAAAAUGUAGAUUCUGAUUUAGUGAGUUGGGGAGGAGCUCAGAUUCUGCAUUUCUAGCAAGUUCCUGGGUCGUGCCAA